CCUACGGGCGGCUGCAGUGGGGAAUAUUGGGCAAUGGGCGCAAGCCUGACCCAGCAACGCCGCGUGAAGGAAGAAGGCUUUCGGGUUGUAAACUUCUUUUGUCAGGGACGAAGCAAGUGACGGUACCUGACGCAUAAGCCACGGCUAACUACGUGCCAGCAGCCGCGGGAAUACGUAGGGGGCAAGCGUUAUCCGGAUUUACUGGGUGUAACGGGCGUGUAGGCGGGACUGCAAGUCAGAUGUGAAAAACACGGGCUCAACCUGUGGCCUGCAUUUGAAACUGUAGUUCUUGAGUACUGGAGAGGCAGACGGAAUUCCUAGUGUAGCGGUGAAAUGCGUAGAUAUUAGGAGGAACACCAGUGGCGAAGGCGGUCUGCUGGACAGCAACUGACGCUGAGGCGCGAAAGCGUGGGGAGCAAACAGGAUUAGAUACCCGUGUAGUC
rnacentral:rRNA from 1 species